rnacentral:pre_miRNA from 1 species
UUAGCUCAUAUUUGUAUGAAAUGGGAUCGUUUGCGUACGUUUACCGCUAGGGGCGCUGUUCCAACUGCAUACAAAAUUGGCGUA